UACGAAGGGGCGAGCGUUGUUCGGAAUUACUGGGCGUAAAGGGCGCGUAGGCGGUGUGUCAAGUCAGGCGUGAAAGCCCCGGGCUCAACCUGGGAACCGCGCUUGAGACUGGCACGCUCGAGUCCGGGAGAGGAUGGUGGAAUUCCCAGUGUAGAGGUGAAAUUCGUAGAUAUUGGGAAGAACACCGAUGGCGAAGGCAGCCAUCUGGACCGGCACUGACGCUGAGGCGGCGAAGGCGUGGGGAGCAAACAGGGAUUAAGAUACCCU
rnacentral:rRNA from 1 species